rnacentral:lncRNA from 1 species
CCUCCGACUCCUCCUAAAUCUCUGCCCUUAAUUGAGCUAUUAAAUCUUCAUUAUAUGCUCCCAAUUCUCGAACUUGAGCUUCCAAUAGGAGGAUUUUGGCAUCUUUAGCUUCUAGUUGUUAUUGUUGUUGUUGCAAUUUUUCCUCCCAUUUUCCAAUUCUUACUCUCGUUGAGGCAAAUACCUGUGAGUGAUCAAUAUUGACUAAAUCACUUUUCAAUUUCAUUACUGUUUCCUUCAAAAUAAUAAUUUCUGCCUGUAGCUCAUUCGUUUUGUUUCGAUAUUGGUCACCCAAUUGUUUCUUUUCAAGCUCCAAUGCCUCUUUCUUCUCUCGUUCCAUCUUCAACUCAGCGUUCAUCUUCUCCUGUUUCAAUCUAUAUGAUUUACGAGUUUGUAGUAAUUCUUGCCUUUGAUUUUCUAAGAUAUGCUGAAUCCUUU